rnacentral:SRP_RNA from 1 species
GCUGGGCACAGUGGCACAUGCCUGUAGUCCCAGCUACUCGGGAGGCUGAGGUGGGAGGAUUGCUUGAGUCCAGGAGUUCUGGGCUGUAGUGAGCUAUGCUGAUCAGGUGUUCACACUAAGUUUGGCAUCAAUAUGGUCACCUCCCGGGAGCGGGGGACCUCCAGGUUGCCUAAGGAGGGGUGAACCAGCCCAGUUUGGAAACAGAGCAGGUCAAAACUCCCGUGCUGAUCAGUAGUGGGAUCCCGCUGGUGAAUAGCCACUGCGCUCCAGCCUGGGCAACAUAGCUAGACCCUGUCUCUA